CUUGAAUUGUCACUCUGAACCUUCCAGAACCGGCAAGAAAUGGACCAGGUCUUGAAGCAACUGUUCCUGUUGGCAGACGAGGAUCAACAUGUAAACCGAAAAUGGCUGAAACAUUUGCAAGGGCUCCCUCUUUUAGCAUAUGACAAGAUAUGCUUGAUCAGAAGACAUUUAUCAUUUACCUCCAGCUUGUCUCUCCAGUGCUGAAGCAACUUAGCUGCUCCAAGAAGCAUGGUCACAUGGACAUCGUGGCCGCGGGCAUGCAUCUUCCCAUCGUUCUUGCUCUUAUACUCCCAGUCCACUAAUUCCUAUGAGAUUAUCAAUUAUGUAUGUCAAUCAAUUUUAUGUUGCAAAAUGAAAUCAAAAUUACAGAAGUGAAACUACAGUAGUCAACUGUCAACACAUGUCUUUCCGAUUAAAUAUGACUUAAAACAUUUUGUAUUG